AAUUUUUUUUAUUAUGAUCUGUGUUUCGCAACUAAUAACUGGUUGAGACUAAAUCACCAAUCCAAAAUACUUAAGUCCAGCUAUUAGUUCUAAAAUAUUCGUCAUAUAUAAGCCUGUCAUACUCCCACGCUACCCGAUGUAGAACUAUUGGGGUGUGGUAUACUUCCUCUGUUUAGGGCCUAUUUGUUUCACCGAAACUGGACUUUGCGUUGAAAUGGGCUUUGAAUUGAAGUAGAGUUCAGUAAAAACUAUUCCUUCCCUACUGUUUGUUUUAUAGCUAUGGAAGUGAAGUUCCUUUCAUUAUGUUGUUUAUUUGACAAAAAAUAAAGAAUAUAAAAUUAUAAUUUAUGUAUAAACAAUAAAUUACUUAAUAAAUAAUAAAUUAUAUUAUAAUAAAUAUAAAUAAUAUAAUUAUAAUCCUAUAUAAUUAAAAAGAUUAAUCUAAAAUAACUAAAUUAUUUUUUAUACAUAAAUUAUAAUAAUACAACAAUAAAAUUAUAAAGUAAAAAAUUAUAUAAUACCUAGCUAAUCAAUUUUCAUCAUAUUUUAAAUGUACAAACUAAAUGAAGGAAAUAAUAAAAAAUUUGGUUAGUUUGAAGGAAAUAAUAAAAAAUUUAAUUAACCAAAUUUUAUUAUAUUUUAAGCAUGCAAACUAAAUAAAAAAAUAAUUAGUGCCAUAAUUAAAUAGAUUUAAAUAUAACUAGCAUUAUUCAUUGUAUUAUUGUAUUUUCUUCUUUACUUCUCUUCACCGUAAUUGACUUCGGCCCAGGGUGGGCCGAAGACAAUUAUACUGUGCUGGGUAGCUCGAAUUUCGAUCGUAUCUUUAAAUGACGAAACAAAUAACGGAAAUGAUCGUUUACGGCCGCAAACAACUUCAUCCUUCUCCAUUUUCACCCAAACAAAUAUGCUCUUAGGUCCUAACAUUCGCGUUAGCC
rnacentral:lncRNA from 1 species